rnacentral:rRNA from 1 species
UAAAGGCUUACCAAGGCAAUGAUGCGUAGCCGAACUGAGAGGUUGAUCGGCCACAUUGGGACUGAGACACGGCCCAAACUCCUACGGGAGGCAGCAGUAGGGAAUCUUCCACAAUGGGCGAAAGCCUGAUGGAGCAACGCCGCGUGGGUGAAGAAGGUCUUCGGAUCGUAAAACCCUGUUGUUAGAGAAGAAAGUGCGUGAGAGUAACUGUUCACGUUUCGACGGUAUCUAACCAGAAAGCCACGGCUAACUACGUGCCAGCAGCCGCGGUAAUACGUAGGUGGCAAGCGUUAUCCGGAUUUAUUGGGCGUAAAGGGAACGCAGGCGGUCUUUUAAGUCUGAUGUGAAAGCCUUCGGCUUAACCGGAGUAGUGCAUUGGAAACUGGGAGACUUGAGUGCAGAAGAGGAGAGUGGAACUCCAUGUGUAGCGGUGAAAUGCGUAGAUAUAUGGAAGAACACCAGUGGCGAAAGCGGCUCUCUGGUCUGUAACUGACGCUGAGGUUCGAAAGCGUGGGUAGCAAACAGGAUUAGAUACCCUGGUAGUCCACGCCGUAAACGAUGAAUGCUAAGUGUUGGAGGGUUUCCGCCCUUCA